rnacentral:lncRNA from 1 species
CACCAACUACCCUGAACCAGAACAAGCCUCACCACCAGAGCAACGCCUACGGCCUCUGCUUUAUUUUUAAUGCUAAGAUCUCUCCAAGAGGAGCUUAGGCCUGAGUAACAUAACCUGCAGUGUAUGUGGAAACAUGCUUUCCAGCUGAGCGUGUGCAAACAAAUAGACCCAGAGGCUGCACUGAGCUCUUUGCUCAGAGGAUCUGUCAAUGGAGGGAUAAGGAACACUUCCAUCCCAUGGGAAGAGAACACGCGAAGAUGAAGGAGAGAGAGAACAUAGGGAGUAUGGAAAGGAGCAGAACCUCAGGAAGAAGAGUCCACCUUGGAAAGGAAGGGGUUCCCAUGCCCUUCUGAGAGGAGAGAUGAAGAGAAUUUGGGGCUGGUGGUUUGGAGAGAGAGAGCCGUGGGAGGAACUGGAGGAGAUCAGGCUGAAAGGACUGGAAGGGCUAAAAAUCUUGAAUGUAAAUCACACUGGAAAGGGAAGAGUCUCUUCAUGCUGAGUAACUGCCAUUUCCAGAAAAGGUGUGUAGAAAAGAG